rnacentral:lncRNA from 1 species
CAUUAAUAUAAGGUGAGGACUUCGGUACUCUCGGAGUAGUGAGUACUCCUACCUAUUUAAAUUCAUCUGAACUUUUCAAUUUUUAGAAAUAAUCUCAACGAUCAAUAAUUAAUUAAUUUCUAAAUUUAAGAUAAUUUAAAUUUCAAAUAAUGAAUUUAAAAAAAAAAAUUAAAAUAACGAAAUAAUUACUCUACUUCAUUCCAAUGAACAUAUUGUCCUUUUUUAUUUUAUAUAAAAAAUUUAUGUCUUAUGAAGCUCCCAACAAUAACAGAGUAUAAAUCUUUACCACCAAGGAAAAAAAAGAAGAAUAAUCACUUCUUCAUUUUGUU